GUCGAGAAUCUUUCACAAUGGGGGCAACCCUGAUGGAGCGACGCCGCGUGGAGGAUAAGGUCUUCGGAUUGUAAACUCCUGUCAUGCGUGAACAAGGUUGCUUGGUUAAUACCUGGGCAAAUUGAUGGUAACGCAAGAGGAAGAGACGGCUAACUCUGUGCCAGCAGCCGCGGUAAUACAGAGGUCUCAAGCGUUGUGCGGAAUCACUGGGCGUAAAGGGUGCGUAGGUGGCGUGGUAAGUCAGAUGUGAAAGCCCGGGGCUCAACCUCGGAACUGCAUCCGAUACUGCCAUGCUAGAGUACUGGAGAGGUGACUAGAAUUCUCGGUGUAGCAGUGAAAUGCGGAGAUAUCGAGAGGAAUACCAAAGGCGUAGGCAGGUCACUGGACAGUUACUGACACUGAGGCACGAAGGCCAGGGGAGCGAACGGGAUUAGAAACCCGGGUAGUC
rnacentral:rRNA from 1 species